GUAGCGCUCGUUAGCUCCGUAAAUUACACGCAGAGAACGCGAAGCACCUGUAGCACAUGUAGCCUUACCUACGGGUUCGUUUCGUUUUCUUAUUUUUUUAUAUUAUCAUUCAAUGCUUCGUGGUGUUUGGCUACAGCUGUGUGAAUGUGGUUCAUGAGAAGUUUAUGUUUCGGAACCACAUUUUAUGACUGUGAAGAUACGAGUGAUACGAGUUGGUGGAGAAGCAGUUGAAAGUGAGCUCAGUAGUUUUCAAAGUGUGGACUGCUGCCAGGGGGCGCUGGGGCACCUCAGAAAAUUGAAGGUCGUCUUUCAAAGUUUACUGGUCGUGUCUGAUUGUGAUACGAACGGCAGCAGUGAGAAAAGGCCCCGGCUGCAGACAACAACGUUGCUUCACCUCUGAUGUAAUGGAAAACCAUCAUGUUUUGAAGAACUGGAUCCACAGUAUCACAGAUCACAGUCUGAAUUGUCGACUGUCAAAAGCGUCGAGGAGACGGAAAACAGAGGCGCAUUCAACACGGCACAUACUGUGCUUUUCUCUGAGAUGUAAUCACGCGCCGCUGAUGCACCGCGGGGAGAGCAGAUGGAAGCGCCAGUGUCAUGGAGCAACACUCCGGACUAGAAACCUGCCCUGAAGCUACAGCUGCAGCCACGUCCGUGUAGGAAACUGUUUAACAUAUCUGCGCAGUUUGGCUUCAUUUGGAAGGACAGGGAGGGGAUAAAGGGCAAAUUCCAUCCAACCUAAGUGUGCUAAAGGAGACAAUAUGUCGGAGCUCCUCUGCUGGAUUAGUGGAUAAAUGCACAGAGAGCCGCUGUCGCCUUGGACCAAGGAAACGGAAUUGUACCGAGCCGGCGGUGCUAACGCAAUGGAUACUCUGUCGUCCCUCUAAGGUAAGAGAUGACCGUAACUAUGUCAGACUGGUCACUGUCGUGAUCCUCCCGUACAUACAUGUAGUGUGCAGUUCGUACUUUUGUGUUUAACCCAGGUGGAAGUGUUUGUGGCGGUACCUUUACAUUGGGCUCGUGUGCCACGUAUUCGACUUCUUUCCUUUUCCCGAUGUUUGUGUCACUCAGUCAACAGGAACUAUCAGUUCACUACCUCUGGGUUUAAACUGCGUGCACUGGAAGUCAUACGUCAAAAAAACAAACCAAAUGAACUUUGUGCAAAAAUGUCACUAAAAUGUACAUUAUCCCGGGCAGCGUAUACGCAAAAAGUAACCUGCGUGAACGUUGUCUCUUGCCACUGCGUCUGUUUUGUCUAUUUCGCCCCCUGACUGGUCGUGUGCGUGGACGGUUGCCAUGUUCCGUCAAACAGAUUACGCCCGGCGCAUACAAAAAUAUGCAACUCGUUCAGAUUGCCUUCGUUUUUUGUGCAAAGACUCACGCGGGUGAGUGGGAAGUAGAGAAAUGUCAGCAUUGUCAGGGGCUGAGACCGUCAUUUAAAACUCCCCUUAAGUUACAGCGAUGAUCUCCUUCCUGCGUGUGCGUUUUACAUCACCGCUUAAAUUAUGAUUAUCACAUUAAACUUCGUGUGAUGCAGAUCGUCCUUCGGCGUCCGCGUCUGGUUUAGAAGUCGAUAUCGGUCCUGAGGCACCAGGGCCAACAGUGUAAUGACACAUCCCACUGUAAUUACCUCCCUCUUGUGGAUUACAAGUGGUAGUAUGACACUUGGAUAAGAAACCCCACUCAGGAGGACAGGAAGCUGCAGUGUCUUCACUAUGUGCCAGGUUUGUUAGGAGGAUUCUGUGCUGUGAUUGACGUUGAGUUGUUGCCAGUAAGGACAGUUCAGCACCACGGACAGCGCCGCGUAGUUGUUCGUAAAUACAUUUAAGCACCCUGGACAGCGCAAAUGGCUGCUUCGUGUCGUUCUGACUGAGGAGGCUUCAGUUGACAUUCUGCACCGCGGUUUUCAUUUAAAGUGUCUCAGCGUCUCCAUUUAAGAGCAUGAUCUGCAGCACCGUUGAUUGGAGAGAUUAACUAAUGUGAAAUUUACAAGACGUGAGCAAAUAGGAAAUGGAGGAAUUCAAAAACAUUAUAGUCUGCAGUACAUCCACCUCUACAUCCCGGCAGGUUCAAGUCAACCAUACUGUGCAAACUGAAUAAUAAAAAAAUGUAUCUGUAAAUUUAACAUUUUUAAAUAUAUUACUGUAAUGAACUGACUCUGUGUACAUCGUUUAUAUGACCAUAAAUGGAAAAGGGGGAAAGGCAGUCACUGGAUGAAUCAGUGGUGUGAAGAUACCACUCCCUUUUGUUAUAACAGGAGGUGCAGUCUUUGGGCCAACUCCAAACCACAAAAAGCCCAGAACAUGAAAAUAUAUGGAAUUUCUACUCAAUGGUUAUGAAUGCUGCUUGUAUUUUAUUGUGGAAAAUACACGUUUUAAUUGUCCUUUCACACCACAUAUUUAUGUUGUUAUGGCAUGUGGCAAGUGAACAAUCUGAUUCAGAUGAGA